rnacentral:rRNA from 1 species
AAUCAACGCUGGCGGCGUGCCUAACACAUGCAAGUCGAACGCGAAAGUGGAGCAAUCCAUGAGUAGAGUGGCAAACGGGUGAGUAACACGUGGGUGACCUGCCUUCGAGUGGGGGAUAACGUCCCGAAAGGGACGCUAAUACCGCAUGACAUCCUGCCUUUCAAGAGGUGGAGAUCAAAGCUGGGGAUCGCAAGACCUGGCGCUGGAAGAGGGGCCCGCGUCCGAUUAGCUAGUUGGUGAGGUAACGGCUCACCAAGGCAACGAUCGGUAGCCGGCC